rnacentral:rRNA from 1 species
CCUACGGGGGGCAGCAGUGAGGAAUAUUGGUCAAUGGACGAGAGUCUGAACCAACCAAGUAGCGUGAAGGAUGACUGCCCUAUGGGUUGUAAACUUCUUUUAUAUGGGAAUAAAAUGUUCCACGUGUGGGAUUUUGUAUGUACCAUAUGAAUAAGGAUCGGCUAACUCCGUGCCAGCAGCCGCGGUAAUACGGAGGAUCCGAGCGUUAUCCGGAUUUAUUGGGUUUAAAGGGAGCGUAGGUGGAUUGUUAAGUCAGUUGUGAAAGUUUGCGGCUCAACCGUAAAAUUGCAGUUGAAACUGGCAGUCUUGAGUACAGUAGAGGUGGGCGGAAUUCGUGGUGUAGCGGUGAAAUGCUUAGAUAUCACGAAGAACUCCGAUUGCGAAGGCAGUUCACUGGACUGCAACUGACACUGAGGCUCGAAAGUGUGUGUAUCAAACAGGAUUAGAUACCCCUGUAGUC